AACGCUGGCGGCGUGCUUAACACAUGCAAGUCGAACGGAGAUGCUAUGUGAGCGGAAGAUGCUUGCAUCCAACAAUCUUAUAGCAUCUUAGUGGCGGACGGGUGAGUAACGCGUGGGUAACCUGCCUUAUACCGGGGGAUAACACUUAGAAAUAGGUGCUAAUACCGCAUAAGCGCACGAUGCCGCAUGGCAAAGUGUGAAAAACUCCGGUGGUAUAAGAUGGGGAUGCGUCUGAUUAGCUUGUUGGCGGGGUAACGGCCCACCAAGGCGACGAUCAGUAGGGGUUCUGAGAGGAAGGUCCCCCACAUUGGAACUGAGACACGGUCCAAACUCCUACGGGAGGCAGCAGUGAGGAAUAUUGGUCAAUGGACGGAAGUCUGAACCAGCCAAGUAGCGUGCAGGAUGACGGCCCUAUGGGUUGUAAACUGCUUUUAUGUGGGAAUAAAGUCAGGGACGUGUCCCUGUUUGCAUGUACCACAGGAAUAAGGACCGGCUAAUUCCGUG
rnacentral:rRNA from 1 species